GACGAACGCUGGCGGCGUGCUUAACACAUGCAAGUCGAGCGGAAAGGCCCUUCGGGGUCCUCGAGCGGCGAACGGGUGAGUAACACGUGAGUAACCUGCCCCAGACUUUGGGAUAGCCCUCGGAAACGGGGGCUAAUACCGGAUACGACACAGCUUCGCAUGGGGUCUGUGUGGAAAGUUUUUCGGUUUGGGAUGGGCUCGCGGCCUAUCAGCUUGUUGGUGGGGUGAUGGCCUACCAAGGCGACGACGGGUAGCCGGCCUGAGAGGGCGACCGGCCACACUGGGACUGAGACACGGCCCAGACUCCUACGGGAGGCAGCAGUGGGGAAUAUUGCACAAUGGGCGGAAGCCUGAUGCAGCGACGCCGCGUGAGGGAUGACGGCCUUCGGGUUGUAAACCUCUUUCAGCAGGGACGAAGCGUAAGUGACGGUACCUGCAGAAGAAGCGCCGGCCAACUACGUG
rnacentral:rRNA from 1 species